rnacentral:rRNA from 1 species
CUUAAGGUGCGGAGCCGUAGCGAAAGCGAGUUUUAACUGAGCGUUCAGUUACUUGACGUAGACCCGAAACCGGGCGACCUACCCAUGAGCAGGAUGAAGCGAAAGUAAAAUUUCGUGGAGGUCCGAACCCACGAGCGUUGAAAAGCUCGGGGAUGACUUGUGGGUAGCGGUGAAAUUCCAAUCGAGCCCGGAGAUAGCUGGUUCUCCCCGAAAUAGCUUUAGGGCUAGCCUCAAGGUGAGAGAUACGGAGGUAGAGCACUGAAUGUCCUAGGGGGUAUUGCACCUACCGAAGACUAUCAAACUCCGAAUGCCGUCAUCUUAUACUUGGGAGUCAGACUGUGGGUGAUAAGAUUCAUAGUCGAAAGGGCAACAGCCCAGAUCGUCAGCUAAGGUCCCUAAAUGUAAGUUAAGUGGUAAAGGAUGUGGGAUUGCACAGACAACCAGGAUGUUGGCUUAGAAGCAGCCACUCAUUCAAAGAGUGCGUAAUAGCUCACUGGUCGAGUGAUCCUGCGCCGAAGAUUUCCGGGGCUAAAACUUACUACCGAAGCUACGGCAUCAGUAAUGAUGGGUAGGGGAGCUUCCCAUACGGGUUGAAGCAUGACCGUAAGGACAUGUGGACAGUAUGGGAGUGAGAAUGUUGGCAUGAGUAGCGAGAUGUGGGUGAGAAUCCCACAGGCCGUAAACCCAAGGUUUCCAGGGG